CGCCAACACAGAGAGACGGAUUUUGUUUGCGACCGCACCAUCGAAUGUGACGCGCGCGAGACUGACGUGGUGCGUUGCUACAGGCUCUUAUCGUCCUUCAUUGAACUGGUAAGACUGAUAAGACCUAUACCCGCACACCCCGCUUGCCCACGCGCGCAAGAACACGAAGACUGCUAGACGACAAUGGGUGGCGCUACUUCGAAAGAUCGCUAUGACCGCGCCGCUACCACCGGCAUUCUGACGCUCAACACGCAGAAGGUCAAAUCGUGGUCAAGCGUCACGAAAGCCCUCACGAAGUUGUCCACUCUGCGCAUCAUCACGAUCACCCACAACCCUCUCCGCGACCCCGUCCCGUAUGCCUUCACCGCCCUUUCUCUCUGGCGCACGCUGGUUAGCCUGGACCUCUCUCACAACGGACUCACGUGCGCGUGCGCUCUCGGGAGUGAGGCACCGUUGUCCAAGACACACGCUAAGGAGGCACGAACACGCAUCGCGGCGGCUCCCGUGAGCAACGCUGCCCACAGCACCACACGGCUCCCCCUCGAGUCACUCAACAUUUCCGGCAACGAUCUGCACAUGCUGCCUCCGCUCCUCGCUGCUCGCUUUCCGCGCCUGCGCCGCCUCGUCUGCACCGACAACAAGACGACGCUCGACAUUCCGCUUUCGCUGGCGCGGUGCAUUGGCCCGAGUAAGAGCCUCGAGGUGGUCGCACUCCAGCGUAACCAGCUGAAGACCUUCGUUAUCGCUGACAACACCGUCGAUAAACCAUUCCCGGCGCUGCGAGAGCUCCUCCUUGAUCAGAACCACCUGGGCGGCACUGUGAGCUUGGGUUUCGCAGCGGACGAGGAGGCGCCAACGAUGGCGUCGCUAAGACGGAUCAGCUUAGAUGAGCAGAAGGGAACGGAGCCGCUCCGCCGCGUCAACGCGGCCAUUUUCGCGCACUGCCCAGGCCUCACUUCCCUCUCCCUCCAAGGUAACUGCAACGAGGAGGAGAUCCAUGACUCGCUCGUGCAGUCCGACAUCUACCGCAAGUGGCAGGAGCGCCAAAAGGACGUUGUCGACAAGAAGCUUCACGCCGGUGGCCAAGCGGAGCUCAUUUGACCCAUGCCGUUUCGAGAAUGCACUGCAGACCAUCGUCUGGUCGUACGCGAAAUACAGCGGCGAACCAAUCCCUCAGCCACAGCGUCAACAGGAGAGGCUCGCGGCUGGCCUGUUGGUGUGGACCUUGCCGUUGCUGCAUUGAGGUAGCUGGCACAAUAUUUCAUGUUGCUUGCUGUCCAUUAUGGCGAUGAUGUUAUUGCUGAGCUGAUGUGGUGUGCACCUCUCUGUUUGUGUCGCAGUGUCACGCGUCUCCCGAGUAGUUCGGCGCCUGUGCUGUCGGUCUUCAUCUCUCGUCCGCUCUUUGUUGUCCUCCAUUGUUUCUCCUGGGUGGCUCACCUUGCGUGCGCAGCUGCGCCUUAUUCCUUCCUCUCUCUCCUCUCUUCCCUAUUCAUUUCCUUGUGAGCCUGAUCGGUGAACUCCCCGACCGUCGAG
rnacentral:misc_RNA from 1 species